UACAGAGGGUGCGAGCGUUAAUCGGAAUUACUGGGCGUAAAGGGCGUGUAGGCGGCCAACUAAGUCCGACGUGAAAUCCCCAGGCUUAACCUGGGAACUGCGUCGGAUACUGGAUGGCUUGAAUCCGGGAGAGGGAUGCGGAAUUCCAGGUGUAGCGGUGAAAUGCGUAGAUAUCGGGAGGAACACCUGUGGCGAAAGCGGCUCACUGGACCAUUACUGACGCUGAUGCUCGAAAGCUAGGGGAGCAAACAGG
rnacentral:rRNA from 1 species